UGUGACAUCACAAUACUCCAAUGUGAUAUCACAAUGCUGCAAUGUGCCAACACUAUUGCCCUAUGUGCCAUUACAGUGAUGCAUUUUGCCAUCAUAAUG
rnacentral:miRNA from 1 species